CAUUUUGUUGUUGGGCUGAGGCCCAUACUGAUGGCCGUAGGCCGAGCGGAGAAUACGAUGGGCUCACGGCAUAUUCGGAGUUGCCGGUCGGAAUAUUCCUGGCGCGCGCGCGAAUAUUUCCCCGGGGCGAGCGAAUCUACCGUCGCUGCGCCGCUUUCUCGCGCUCGCCUUUUCCUUGGACCGCACGCACGGCACGGCCACCCUUCUCCUCUCCUCUCUUCACCUACCUAUUCUCUUGCUCGGCGCGCGUAGGAGAGGAGAGGCACUUCUUCUUCGUUCUUCCUCGCCGUCGUCUUCCUCUCCAUGUCGGCAUGUGUCUUGCUCGACACCGGCGGUACCGUGGCCCAUGGGUCGUCGCCGGACGCCGGGCACCAGCAGGCGGCCGGCAUCGAAGCUGUCAACCAUGAUUUUUUUUUUUUACCAAAGGAAAGAAAAUGUCCAGAGGUUUUGUACCACGAGGAAAUAAGCAACGUAACAAAGAAUCGAUUUGAAAUCUCGGUA